CACGUAGGGUGCAAGCGUUAAUCGGAAUUACUGGGCGUAAAGCGUGCGCAGGCGGUCUGUUAAGACCGAUGUGAAAUCCCCGGGCUUAACCUGGGAACUGCAUUGGUGACUGGCAGGCUUUGAGUGUGGCAGAGGGAGGUAGAAUUCCACGUGUAGCAGUGAAAUGCGUAGAGAUGUGGAGGAAUACCGAUGGCGAAGGCAGCCUCCUGGGCCAACACCGACGCUCAUGCACGAAAGCGUGGGGAGCAAACAGG
rnacentral:rRNA from 1 species